rnacentral:rRNA from 1 species
UACGUAGGUGGCAAGCGUUGUCCGGAUUUACUGGGCGUAAAGAGCGCGCAGGCGGUCGUUCAAGUCGAGUGUGAAAGCCCCCGGCUCAACUGGGGAGGGUCAUUCGAUACUGAUCGACUCGAAGGCAGGAGAGGGAAGUGGAAUUCCCGGUGUAGUGGUGAAAUGCGUAGAUAUCGGGAGGAACACCAGUGGCGAAGGCGGGUCUCUGGGCCGUAACUGACGCUGAGGAGCGAAAGCGUGGGGAGCGAACAGG